AGAAGAUGGCGGAUGAGCAGCGUGCAGGGUUUUCUCCCUGUGGCUCACUCUCUCUUACUGUGCUGGGCGGUUGCUUCCUCUCCUGCUGCCCUUGGGAGUCAGACUCCAGGUUCUUCAGCCUGUGGCCCCUGGGGCUCUCGGGCCUUGGAGGACUGACUAGGAGCACACGGUGGGCCUCUCUGGUUUGGGGGCCUGGGACGUGGCGGAGCCCUGCAGCUUCUGUGCGGCCUGUUCUGGGCGUCGCGUUGAAACGCCAGCCAGUUCCCCAAGUAAGCUCCCUGCACACACGCCUGAUAGCCUGUUGGUUCCGUCCUUCUGCGGGAUUUUCACUACCACUCUCUAACUCACACACAGCAGAAAGAGCAUACGGGAGAGAUGAAGCAGUCCACUCCAAGAACAUUCUCAUCCUACGGAUUACGAGUCCCCCUGGGAUUACAGGAGUGUUGAAGAAAUGUUGUGACACAUCAGAACACCGCGAAAUACAUGGACACUUUCAAAUCAUGGAAGACUCAAGAAGAAACUUUAAUUAGAAGGAAACAGGAAUAUUCAACGGACUCCCAAGACAAGAAUAUAGAUGUAUAUCAGAAGCUGAGCAUUGAAGUUGCUACUAGAGUCUCCCCGAGCCCUUAUUGGAUUCUCACUUCAGGAGCUGCUUUCAUUAUUUUGCCUCUCAGUUUCAAAAUAGACAAAGAACUCAACACUCAACAAUAAGAAAAUGAACAACUUGGUUGAAAAAUGGGCCAAAGACCUUAACAGACACCUCACCAAAGAUGAUAGACAGGUAGGAAAUAAACAUAUAAAAAGAUGCUGCACGUCAGAUGUCAUCAGAAAAGUGCAAUUAAAACAACAAUGAGACACCACUAUGCAUCUCCUAGAAUGACCAAAACCCAGAACACUGACACCAAAUACUCUUGAGGAUGUGGAGCAAUUCUCAUUGCUGAUGGGAAUGCAAAAUGGUACAGUCUUUUGGAAGACAGCUUGGAGGUUUCUUAUAAAGCUAAACUUGGAUUUACCAUACCAUCUACCAGCAGUGCUCCUUGGUAUUUACCCAGUGGAGCUGAAAAUGUAUGUCCCCACAGAAAAACAGGCACGUGGACGCUUACAGAAGUUUUACACAUAAUUUCCAAGACUUGGAAGCAACCAAGAUGUCCUUCAGUCGGUGAAUGGAAGAAUAAACUGUGGAACAAUCAGACCAUGGAAUAUUAUUCAGUGCUGAAUAGAAAUGAGCUAAGAAAGCCAUAAAAAAACAUGGAGGAAAAGUAAGUGCAUAUUGUUAAGUUUAAGAGUCCAAAAGGCAACAUGCUCUAUGCUCCAACUUUAUGACAUUCUGAAAUCGGCGAAACUAUGGAAAAAGUAAAAAUAUUAGUGAUGCCAGGGGUUAAAGGAAGAGAGAAAGGGACAGGCAAGAGAACAGAGGAUUUUUAGGGCAGUGCAAAUACUCUGUAUAAUACAAUAAUGGUGGGUACACAACCUUAUACCUUUGUCCAAACCCACAGAAUGUUCAACACCAAGACUGAACCCUAAUGUAACCUGUGGACUUUGGAUGAUAAUGACGCAUCAAUGCAAGUCAUAAAUUUGGAAAAAUGUACCUCUCCUGGGAAGGAGUUGAUAAUGAGUGAGUCUAUGCAUGUGUAGGGGGAGGGGUUAUGUGAGAUAUUCAUGUACUUUCUGCCCAGUUUUGCUGUGAACCUAAAAUUACACUAAAAGUGGGCAAAGGACGUGAACAGACAAUUCUCAAAUGAAGACAUACAUGCAGCCAACAAAUAUAAAAUAAAGCCCAAUGUCACUGAUCAUUAGAAUAUUGCAUAUCAAAACCACAAUGAGAUACCACCAGAUGAUUAUUAAAAAGUCAAAAAAUAACAGAUACUGGCGAGGUUGUCAAGAAAAAGGAAUGCUUUUAUACUUUUGGUGGAAGUUCAACCACUGUGGAAGAUGGUGUAGUGAUUCCGCAAAGACUAGAGGCAGAAAUACCAUUUGACCCAACAAUCCCAUUACUGGGUAUAUACCCAAACAAGUAUAAAUUAUUCUGUUAUAAAGACACAUGCACAUGUAUGUUCAUUGCAGCACUAUUCACAAUAGCAAAGACAUAGAAUCAACCUAAAUGAUCCUCAGUGAUAGACUGGAUAAAGAAAAUGUGGUACAUAUAUACCAUGAAAUACUAUGCAGCCAUAAAAAGGAAUGAGAGUAUGUCCUUUGCAGUGACAUGACUGGAGCUGGAGGCCAUUAUUCUUAGCAAACUAACGCAGCAACAGAAAAACAAA
ensembl:lncRNA LINC01446 long intergenic non-protein coding RNA 1446